GGCUGGUCAGAAGACAGAGUUAUCUCACUGUUCAGCCAGUUACAGACGGAACUUCUGGUUCUACGACCUUACCCCUUCUCACUUCUGCACUUGACUAGUCUCAA
rnacentral:Y_RNA from 1 species